rnacentral:lncRNA from 1 species
CUCCAUUAGAAAUUUGAAUUGAGAUCAGUUUUGGAAAAAGGGAAAGGGGGAUGAGAAAAAAACUGGGGGGGGGGAUAAAUUUUUCUCAUUUCAGAUUUCAUAAAUAAAAAGAAAAUUUCUUCAAACAUUUUUUUGAGAGGAUUAAUAUUCAACAGCAUAGUGAAUUGCUCAAAGGAAAAAAAAGUAUUUUAAGUUCAUUAGACCACAUUCAUUCUGUGUCAGAAACCUAUGCUGUGUCAACUAUUUAAUCACAAUCCAAAUUUAGAGCUGAAUCCAGCUUGAAUGUUGUGUCCAUACUUGCCCCAACCGUUCAGGGUUCAACCUCUGCGAUCGUAUAAAGCUGCGCCCUGCGGAGCAUCUGGUUUU